rnacentral:rRNA from 1 species
ACGGAAGGCAGCAGUGGGGAAUAUUGCACAAUGGGCGAAGGCCUGAUGCAGCGACGCCGCGUGAGUGAAGAAGUAUCUCGGUAUGUAAAGCUCUAUCAGCAGGGAAGAAAAUGACGGUACCUGACUAAGAAGCCCCGGCUAACUACGUGCCAGCAGCCGCGGUAAUACGUAGGGGGCAAGCGUUAUCCGGAUUUACUGGGUGUAAAGGGAGCGUAGACGGUUUGGCAAGUCUGAAGUGAAAUGCGGGGGCUCAACUCCUGAACUGCUUUGGAAACUGUCGAACUAGAGUGCAGGAGAGGUAAGUGGAAUUCCUAGUGUAGCGGUGAAAUGCGUAGAUAUUAGGAGGAACACCAGUGGCGAAGGCGGCUUACUGGACUGUAACUGACGUUGAGGCUCGAAAGCGUGGGGAGCAAACAGGAUUAGAUACCCUGGUA